AUACAGUGUUCCUUAUCCCCGGCUAAAUUAGAAGGGCAAAGGCUUAAAAAUAUUUUCAGGUAGUAUUACUUUAUUGAGAGGGUAGUGGAUGCAUGAAAUAGCCUUCCAGCUGAAGUGGUAGAGGUUAACACAGUGAGGGAGUUUAAGCAUGCGUGGAUAGGCAUAAGGCUAUCCUAACUAUAAGAUAAUUCCAGGGACUAAUGAAAAGGGAUGUGCAUGGGCAAAAAAUUUGGUUCAGUUCGACACUUCCGAAAUUCGGGACUUUGGCAAUUCGGGACUUCGGCACUUCCAAAAUUUGUGAAUUUGGCAAUUCGGUUUGGUUUGGCACUUCCGACAUUUGGGACUUCGACAAUUCAGCACUUCGGUUCAACACUUCCGAAAUUCGGGAAUUUGACAAUUCGGACAUUCAUAAGCAUCCCUCUCUUGCCUCCACAACCACUUACACACCUGUAG